UGGGAACGUGCCCAAAGGUACGGAACAACUCCGGGAAACUGGAGCUAAUACCGUAUGUGCCCGAAAGGGGAAAGAUUUAUCGCCUUUGGAUCGGCCCGCGUCUGAUUAGCUAGUUGGUGGGGUAAUGGCCUACCAAGGCGACGAUCAGUAGCUGGUCUGAGAGGAUGGCCAGCCACAUUGGGACUGAGACACGGCCCAGACUCCUACGGGAGGCAG
rnacentral:rRNA from 1 species